GAAUCUAUUAUGGAAGCCCAUCCACCUCAUUUAGGAUAUGAGUAGAGGGUCCUGCAAGCAACUGUCAGACUGACCCUUGAGGUAGAAGGAGAGAUGACUUAAUAAUCUAGGGUAUGUCCUCUUUUUGUGGUUGGAUUUUUAUGUACAGAAAGCAAAAUAGAAAACUUUUCCAUAGGAAACCCAAAACAUUUUCUAAAAGUGCUUACUUUCUUGGCAGAAAGCUAGAUAAAAGUGAUUAGUGGACCACCCAGUGAAAUUCUAUUUGGGAAAAUAUCAUAUGAGAGCUUAAAUAACAUUGUUUGAAACCUACGAUGACAGAGUUAAAAAGCAUCUCAGAAUUCAUCUGACUCAAUGACCUCAUUUUACAUUUGUGGAAACAGGCCGGGAAAGUGAGGCCAUGGGAAGAGUCUGUGUAGAAGGACCUCUACGCUGCCUAGACCCCUUUGGAGACCUGGACUCACCUUGCAAAACUCACCCCUUCCAUAAGCUCCUUAGAGUUUCCUGGCACAUGAGCCUAUUUCCAUUUCAUUAGAAUCCACAGAGUGCCUAGAAAGAGGCUGUUCUGAUUCUAAUCACCAGAUGUCCCAUUAGAAAUAACAUGGCCUCAAGAACAACUC
rnacentral:lncRNA from 1 species